GGGGAGGUGCCGGAGAGGUCUAACGGGGCCGCCUGCUAAGCGGUUAAGGGGCCUAAAAAGCUCCUUCCAGGGUUCGAAUCCCUGCCUCCCCG
rnacentral:tRNA from 2 species